CUACGGGAUGCACCAGUGGGGAAUAUUGCACAAUGGGCGCAAGCCUGAUGCAGCCAUGCCGCGUGUAUGAAGAAGGCCUUCGGGUUGUAAAGUACUUUCAGCGGGGAGGAAGGGAGUAAAGUUAAUACCUUUGCUCAUUGACGUUACCCGCAGAAGAAGCACCGGCUAACUCCGUGCCAGCAGCCGCGGUAAUACGGAGGGUGCAAGCGUUAAUCGGAAUUACUGGGCGUAAAGCGCAUGCAGGCGGUUUGUUAAGUCAGAUGUGAAAUCCCCGGGCUCAACCUGGGAACUGCAUCUGAUACUGGAAAGCUUGGGUCUCGUAGGGGGGGGUAGAAUUCCAGGUGUAGCGGUGAAAUGCGUAGAGAUCUGGAGGAAUACCGGUGGCGAAGGCGGCCCCCUGGACGAAGACUGACGCUCAGGUGCGAAAGCGUGGGGAGCAAACAGGAUUAGAUACCCGAAGUC
rnacentral:rRNA from 1 species